GUCGGCGAAUUGGCAACCGAUCUCCGCGCCACAUCUUGAAACGUGAUCGGCGAAUAAAUUCUCCUCUCUUCGGGAAGAUACGACGAAUCCACGGCUAUCGGCGACGCUAUCUUCGAACCUCGCCUAGACGAAGUCUCCAAACAAUUCUGAGGACUAAACAUAGUCGCAGAAACGAAGCUCGCGGACGUUCCCGCCGACAGUCUUUUCUCGAUGGUUCUUGCGUGCCAUUGCGGUGGUUCUUGGAUCGUGAUACCUUUCGUCGUGGACGAUCUGUGCUCUCUUUUCUCCAACCACUCGCGAUGUCUCGGCGGCGAUAUCAUGAAGAUUCUUUGCCAUAACCGACGAAAAUAACUCAAGAUCAAGGAGCUCCCGAGGAACAAUCUUUUCGGAGCGUGAUGUUCGGACCGCCGACAAUUUCGACCACUUUCGGAUGCUCCUCGCGUUUUUUGAUUAUGAUGUACACUGACCCCGAACCCCGAAAGGACGGGGUCUGGCCGACGUUUUUGCUUGAAUUGAAAUCAACCAUGCACAUAAAUAUCGACACACAAGCGGGGGCAGUCGCAGUAUUUUAAUACAGAUUUACGGAGCACUUAUGUUUCCACUUUCGUAACGAAGCGACCUUAACUUUUGUUCUCCUUUUGAUCGGCAUAUACGAUGAAAUAAUAGUAUCUACGAUUUAAAAAAAAAACGCUAAUAUAACGUAAUCAUAGUAAUAUAACGAUGUUUGAAAAAACGAUCGAAGUUCUACCAAUGAGAUAAACAUUUAGCGAACAAUAGAUACGAGCAUAAUGCCAAUUGUUUAAUUUAUUCGUAACAAAAUAAAGAUCUCAAUUCCAAUCGAAUCCAAUUCCAAUUAAUGUCAUCGUUCUAAGCUUAUCGGGUCAAUUAUUUCGUUGAUACUCCGUUUAACGAGACCAGCUCUAAUAUCGAGAUACACCGGGAGUAUCCCAGACACGAGACGAAGAAGAGAACGAUCGACGCUCGCGUUUCGUUGUCGGUGCGCGGGAAAGUAUUAGAGCAAUAUCACGGCGCGGCGUCACGCGAAUUCUUUAAUUACUAUCAUCUAUACUUCUCCACUCGGUGACUCUCUUUCCCCGGAAAAUUUUGAACGACGGCGCAUUCAGGUGCACACAUAUCACGCGACCGCAUCUGCGACUUCUAUUUAUAAGAUCGACUAGGCAGACGACCGUGGAGUCACUAGAAAAAUAUCCUGAAAUAAACACCCUCCCAAUUAAUGAUAUGGCU